rnacentral:rRNA from 1 species
UACGUAGGGGGCUAGCGUUGUCCGGAUUUAUUGGGCGUAAAGAGCGUGUAGGCGGCCAUGUAGGUCCGGUGUGAAAACUCGAGGCUUAACCUCGAGAUGUCAUCGGAAACCAUUUGGCUAGAGUCCGGAAGAGGAGAGUGGAAUUCCUGGUGUAGCGGUGAAAUGCGCAGAUAUCAGGAAGAACACCAAUGGCGAAAGCAGCUCUCUGGGGGUUUGCUGACGCUGAGACACGAAAGCCAGGGGAGCAAACGGG